AACGAACGCUGGCGGCAUGCCUAACACAUGCAAGUCGAACGAGACCUUCGGGUCUAGUGGCGCACGGGGGCGUAACGCGGGGGAACCUGCCCUUAGGUUCGGAAUAACUCCCCGAAGGGGGUGCUAAUACCGGAUAAUGUCUUCGGACCAAAGAUUUAUCGCCUUUGGAUGGGCCCGCGUUGUUUGAGCUAGUUGGUAGGGUAAAAGCCUACCAAGGCGACGAUCCCUAGCUGGUCUGAGAGGAUGGUCCGCCACACUGGGACUGGGACACGGCCCAGACUCCUACGGGAUGGAGCAGUGGGUGAUACUGGCCAAUGGGCGGAAGGCUGAUGCAGCAAUGCCGCGUGAGUGCUGAAGGCCUUAGGGUUGUAAAGCUCUUUUACACCGGGUGAUAAUGACAGUACCGGGAGAAUAAGCUCCGGCUAACUCCGUG
rnacentral:rRNA from 1 species